GACGAACGCUGGCGGCGUGCUUAACACAUGCAAGUCGAACGGAAAGGCCCUGCUUGCAGGGUACUCGAGUGGCGAACGGGUGAGUAACACGUGGGUGAUCUGCCCUGCACUUCGGGAUAAGCCUGGGAAACUGGGUCUAAUACCGGAUAGGAGCCAUUUUUAGUGUGAUGGUUGGAAAGUUUUUUCGGUGUAGGAUGAGCUCGCGGCCUAUCAGCUUGUUGGUGGGGUAAUGGCCUACCAAGGCGGCGACGGGUAGCCGGCCUGAGAGGGUGGACGGCCAAAUUGGGACUGGGUAAGGGCCCAAACCCCUAGGGGGGGGAGCAGUGGGGAAUAUUGCAAAAUGGGCGCAAGCCUGAUGCAGCGACGCCGGGGGGGGGAUGACGGCCUUCGGGUUGUAAACUCCUUUCGCUAGGGACGAAGCUUUUUGUGACGGUACCUAGAUAAGAAGCACCGGCUAACUACGU
rnacentral:rRNA from 1 species